rnacentral:tRNA from 1 species
GCGGGUGUAGAUUAACGGUAAAUUAUUUGCCUUCCAAGCAAAAGAUAAGGGUUCGAUUCCCUUCACCCGCA